AAGCUCGUAGUUGGAUCUCGGCAGGCUGGGGGCGGUUCGAUGUUUGUCGCUUACUGCUCCGUUUGCCUGUGUUUGUUUUGGCGGAGGUGGCCGGGUGUUCUUGACCGAAUGUCCGUUUUUGUCACGCCGUCAGGUUUACUUUGAAAAAAUUAGAGUGCUCAGAGCAGGCUUGACACGCUUGAAUAGUCGUGCAUGGAAUAAUGGAACAGGACGUCGUUUCUAUUUUGUUGGUUUUCGGAAAUCGACGUAAUGAUUAAUAGGGACAGUCGGGGGCAUUAGUAUUCAGACGACAGAGGUGAAAUUCUUGGACCGUCUGAAGACUCACUACUGCGAAAGCAUUUGCCAAGAAUGUUUUCAUUAAUCAAGAACGAAAGUUAGAGGUUCGAAGGCGAUCAGAUACCGCCCUAGUUCUAACCAUAAACGAUGCCAGCUAGCGAUCCGCAGCUGUUACUUCCUUAGGCUCUGCGGGCAGCUUUCCGGGAAACCAAAGCCUUUGGGUUCCGGGGGAAGUAUGGUUGCAAAGCUGAAACUUAAAGAAAUUGACGGAAGGGCACCACCAGGAGUGGACGUGCGGCUUAAUUUGACUCAACGCAGGAAAUCUCACCAGGCCCGGACACCGGCAGGAUUGACAGAUUGAGAGCUCUUUCUCGAUUCGGUGGGUGGUGGUGCAUGGCCGUUCUUAGUUGGUGGAGUGAUUUGUCUGGUUAAUUCCGAUAACGAACGAGACUCUGUCCUGCUAACUAGUGCUCUCGUUUCUUUUGUUCACGAGAGCAAUCAUCUUCUUAG
rnacentral:rRNA from 1 species